rnacentral:tRNA from 1 species
GGAAGCUCGUGGCCGAGUGGAUAAGGCGUCUUACUCCUAAUCAGACGGUUGUGGGUUCGAAUCCUUCCGAGCGUGU